rnacentral:rRNA from 1 species
UACGUAGGGGGCAAGCGUUGUCCGGAUUUAUUGGGCGUAAAGAGCGUGUAGGCGGCCAGGUACGUCUGCUGUGAAAACUCGAGGCUCAACCUCGAGACGUCGGCGGAAACCAUCUGGCUAGAGUCCGGAAGAGGAGAGUGGAAUUCCUGGUGUAGCGGUGAAAUGCGCAGAUAUCAGGAAGAACACCCGUGGCGAAGGCGGCUCUCUGGGACGGUACUGACGCUGAGACGCGAAAGCGUGGGGAGCGAACAGG